rnacentral:rRNA from 1 species
UACGUAGGGGGCAAGCGUUGUUCGGAAUUACUGGGCGUAAAGGGCGCGUAGGCGGCACGGCAAGUCAGGAGUGAAAGCCCGGGGCUCAACCCCGGAAUGUCUUUUGAAACUGCCGAGCUAGAGUGCGGAAGAGGCAACUGGAAUUCCCAGUGUAGCGGUGAAAUGCGUAGAUAUUGGGAAGAACACCUGAGGCGAAGGCGGGUUGCUGGGCCGACACUGACGCUGAGGCGCGAAAGCCAGGGGA